rnacentral:rRNA from 1 species
AGGAUGAACGCUGGCGGCGUGCUUAACACAUGCAAGUCGAACGAUGAAGCAGAGCUUGCUCUGUGGAUUAGUGGCGAACGGGUGAGUAACACGUGAGUAACCUGCCCUUGACUCUGGAAUAAGCGUUGGAAACGACGUCUAAUACCGGAUACGAGCUUCCGCCGCAUGGUGAGGAGGCUGGAAAGAA